rnacentral:rRNA from 1 species
CUACGGGGGGCAGCAGUGAGGAAUAUUGCACAAUGGGGGGAACCCUGAUGCAGCAACGCCGCGUGGAGGAUGACGCAUUUCGGUGUGUAAACUCCUUUUAUAUGUCAAGAAAAUGACGGUAGCAUAUGAAUAAGCACCGGCUAACUCCGUGCCAGCAGCCGCGGGUAAUACGGAGGGUGCAAGCGUUACUCGGAAUCACUGGGCGUAAAGGACGCGUAGGCGGGUUGGAAAGUCAGGUGUGAAAUCCUACAGCUUAACUGUGGAACUGCACUUGAAACUUCUAAUCUAGAGUAUGGGAGGGGAAGAUGGAAUUAGUGGUGUAGGGGUAAAAUCCGUAGAUAUCACUAGGAAUACCUAAAGCGAAGGCGAUCUCCUGGAACAUUACUGACGCUAAGGCGUGAAAGCGUGGGGAGCAAACAGGAUUAGAUACCCCUGUAGUC